UUAGUUCAUAGACACAAACCAAAAGCACCAUCAAUUCAGUUCAGAGACACAAAGCAGAAGCACCAUCAAUUCGGUUCAAUUCAAACCAUUUCGACAAUCAAUCCAGUUCAGACACACAAACUAAAUGCUAAAUCAAUUCAGUUCAGAUAAACAGACUUAAUCAAUUUGACAACCAUUCCAAUUCAGAUAAGACAAACAGACUAAACCAAUUCAGUUCAGCGAUAAAGAUGCGUGUUACCUUUAUUGCCAUUGUAGUCGAACGUUGAUGAACCUUCAUGUUUGUUGAUCCGUAAGACGAACAUCGAUAUCCUCUUGAUCGGAACCAUCUCAA
rnacentral:lncRNA from 1 species